rnacentral:lncRNA from 1 species
UCUUACCCCUCUCGAGCCCAGAGUACCACAGCUUAAACCCAUCAGCGUCCCGCGCCCUAGUCCCUUUCCACCUAGUCUCCUGGAGGCACGCUAUGUUAACCCUUCUCUGUUGGAGAACCUUCGCUAACUCGAUGGACUUACCCGUCAGAGUGCCUAUGUUCCAAGACCCAAUCCUUAAUCUAUGGGCGACCGCCGCCCUCUUCCCACCCUUACCUCCUGCCUUACCCGAAAUGCCACCCCCUGCACCCCUACACACCCCCGCUACCACCCCCCCU